rnacentral:rRNA from 1 species
GUACGGGGGGUCCAAGCGUUGUUCGGAAUCACUGGGCGUAAAGCGCACGUAGGUGGCUUUUCAAGUCUGUUGUGAAAGCCCAGGGCCUAACCCUGGAAGUGCAGCAGAUACUGUUAAGCUUGAGUAUGGGAGAGGAUAGUGGAAUUUCUGGUGUAGUGGUGAAAUACGUAGAUAUCAGAAGGAACACCAGUGGCGAAGGCGGCUAUCUGGCCCAAUACUGACACUGAGGUGCGAAAGCGUGGGGAUCAAACAGG